rnacentral:rRNA from 1 species
UACGUAGGGUGCAAGCGUUAUCCGGAAUUAUUGGGCGUAAAGAGCUCGUAGGCGGUUUGUCGCGUCUGCUGUGAAAACUGGAGGCUCAACCUCCAGCCUGCAGUGGGUACGGGCAGACUAGAGUGCGGUAGGGGAGAUUGGAGUUCCUGGUGUAGCGGUGGAAUGCGCAGAUAUCAGGAGGAACACCGAUAGCGAAGGCAGCUUACUAGACUGUAACUGACGCUGAUGCACGAAAGUGUGGGGAUCAAACAGG